rnacentral:rRNA from 1 species
CAGUCGCCGCGGGAACACGUAGGUGGCAAGCGUUGUCCGGAAUUAUUGGGCGUAAAGGGCUCGCAGGCGGUUUCUUAAGUCUGAUGUGAAAGCCCCCGGCUCAACCGGGGAGGGUCAUUGGAAACUGGGAAACUUGAGUGCAGAAGAGGAGAGUGGAAUUCCACGUGUAGCGGUGAAAUGCGUAGAGAUGUGGAGGAACACCAGUGGCGAAGGCGACUCUCUGGUCUGUAACUGACGCUGAGGAGCGAAAGCGUGGGGAGCGAACAGGAUUAGAUACCCCGGUAGUCCCUGUCUCUUAUAU